UACGUAGGUGGCAAGCGUUGUCCGGAUUUACUGGGCGUAAAGAGCGCGCAGGCGGUCGAUUAAGUCGAAUGUGAAAGCCCCCGGCUCAACUGGGGAGGGUCAUUCGAUACUGAUCGACUUGAAGGCAGGAGAGAGAAGUGGAAUUCCCGGUGUAGUGGUGAAAUGCGUAGAUAUCAGGAGGAACACCAAUGGCGAAGGCAGCUCACUGGGACGGUAUUGACGCUGAGGUGCGAAAGCGUGGGGAGCAAACAGG
rnacentral:rRNA from 1 species